UAAUACGUAGGGUGCGAGCGUUAAUCGGAAUUACUGGGCGUAAAGCGUGCGCAGGCGGUUAUGCAAGACAGAGGUGAAAUCCCCGGGCUCAACCUGGGAACUGCCUUUGUGACUGCAUGGCUAGAGUACGGUAGAGGGGGAUGGAAUUCCGCGUGUAGCAGUGAAAUGCGUAGAUAUGCGGAGGAACACCGAUGGCGAAGGCAAUCCCCUGGACCUGUACUGACGCUCAUGCACGAAAGCGUGGGGAGCAAACAGG
rnacentral:rRNA from 1 species